GACGAACGCUGGCGGCGUGCUUAACACAUGCAAGUCGAGCGGUAAGGCCUUUCGGGGUCCACGAGCGGCGAACGGGUGAGUGACACGUGGGUGAUCUGCCCUGCACUUCGGGAUAAGCCUGGGAAACUGGGUCUAAUACCGGAUAUGACCUCCUAUCGCAUGGUGGGUGGUGGAAAGAUUUAUCGGUGCAGGAUGGGCCCGCGGCCUAUCAGCUUGUUGGUGGGGUAAUGGCCUACCAAGGCGACGACGGGUAGCCGACCUGAGAGGGUGACCGGCCACACUGGGACUGAGACACGGCCCAGACUCCUACGGGAGGCAGCAGUGGGGAAUAUUGCACAAUGGGCGAAAGCCUGAUGCAGCGACGCCGCGUGAGGGAUGACGGCCUUCGGGUUGUAAACCUCUUUCAGCAGGGACGAAGCGCAAGUGACGGUACCUGCAGAAGAAGCACCGGCUAACUACGUG
rnacentral:rRNA from 1 species